rnacentral:rRNA from 1 species
AUUGAACGCUGGCGGCAGGCCUAACACAUGCAGGUCGAGCGGAUGAAGGGAGCUUGCUCCUGGAUUCAGCGGCGGACGGGUGAGUAAUGCCUAGGAAUCUGCCUGGCAGUGGGGGAUAACGUCCGGAAACGGGCGCUAAUACCGCAUACGUCCUGAGGGAGAAAGUGGGGGAUCUUCGGACCUCACGCUAUCAGAUGAGCCUAGGUCGGAUUAGCUAGUUGGUGGGGUAAAGGCCUACCAAGGCGACGAUCCGUAACUGGUCUGAGAGGAUGAUCAGUCACACUGGAACUGAGACACGGUCCAGACUCCUACGGGAGGCAGCAGUGGGGAAUAUUGGACAAUGGGCGAAAGCCUGAUCCAGCCAUGCCGCGUGUGUGAAGAAGGUCUUCGGAUUGUAAAGCACUUUAAGUUGGGAGGAAGGGCAGUAAGUUAAUACCUUGCUGUUUUGACGUUACCAACAGAAUAAGCACCGGCUAACUUCGUG